rnacentral:rRNA from 1 species
UACGUAGGGGGCGAGCGUUGUCCGGAUUUAUUGGGCGUAAAGAGCGUGUAGGUGGCCAGGUAGGUCUGCUGUGAAAACUCGAGGCUCAACCUCGAGACGUCGGCGGAAACCAUCUGGCUAGAGUCCGGAAGAGGAGAGUGGAAUUCCUGGUGUAGCGGUGAAAUGCGCAGAUAUCAGGAAGAACACCCGCGGCGAAGGCGGCUCUCUGGGACGGUACUGACGCUGAGACGCGAAAGCGUGGGGAGCGAACAGG